AAAAUAGAAGGCGCUUGCCUCUUGGUUUCUCAGGUGUCAGGGGCAACGCACUGGACAGCAACAGAUAUCCCAGGACUCUGUGCAGGAGAAGAUAGAACUGAGCGGAGUGAAGAGUAGAAGAGACUGAAAACAUAUGAUCAAAAAAACAAGAAGAAAGGGAACCGUGUACCAUGUUAAUAUGAUGACAGAAAAGAAAAGCGGUGGGAUACAAUGGACAAGAAGACAUGCUCAGUUACCAACCAGAAUGAAACAAAUCUCUAAGAUGACUCUGAAUUAGUGGCACCUGGAGGAGAUGAGUCAAACACAGAGGAAGAAAGUGUUAGUCAGCAUUUAACAGCUGACUCUGGGACAAAGAAUCCCAAGAGGAAAGAGAUGACAAAUGCUGGCUAAUUGUUGCCUCAAAGCACAAGUGAUUGCCUUUGAAAUAUUUCCCAAAUGACCAAAGGAGGACAUGGUCCAGGAUCCUCUGCCUGAGCUUAAGGAAUACCUCUCCUCUCCACAAUGCCCAAACGAGUAAAUAAUUUCCAGGGUCAAAGCUUUCACAAGCUGAGGCGAGCCUGCAUGCGCCGAGGGGCACUCUUUAAGGAUUCGCUGUUUCCCGCCACCGCCCAAUCCCUCUUCUACAAGAGGAAGCCCCCGCCGGGACUGACGUGGAAGAGGCCAGGGGUGAGUGUGACUUGCAGGGAGAAGCACUGAAUCUUUCAUUUUCCUGAAAGUAUAUUAAAUGCC